GACAGAGGGUGCGAACGUUGCUCGGAAUCAUUGGGCGUAAAGCGCGCGUAGGUGGCUUCGUAAGUCCGUUGUGAAAGUCAAAGGCUCAACCUUUGAAAGCCGAUGGAUACUGCGGAGCUAGAGUACGGAAGAGGCGAGUGGAAUUCCUGGUAUAGCGGUGGAAUGCGCAGAUAUCAGGAGGAACACCAAUAGCGAAGGCAGCUCGCUGGGACGUUACUGACACUGAGGCGCGAAAGCGUGGGGAGCGAACAGG
rnacentral:rRNA from 1 species